UACGUAGGGGGCAAGCGUUGUCCGGAUUUAUUGGGCGUAAAGAGCGUGUAGGCGGUUUGGUAGGUCCGUUGUGAAAACUCGAGGCUCAACCUCGAGACGCCGAUGGAAACCAUCAGACUAGAGUCCGGAAGAGGAGAGUGGAAUUCCUGGUGUAGCGGUGAAAUGCACAGAUAUCAGGAAGAACACCCGUGGCUAAGGCGGCUCUCUAGUACGGUACUGACGCUGAGACGCGAAAGCGUGGGGAGCGAACAGG
rnacentral:rRNA from 1 species